rnacentral:rRNA from 1 species
GAUGAACGCUGGCGGCGUGCUUAAUACAUGCAAGUCGAGCGAACAGACGAGGAGCUUGCUCCACUGACGUUAGCGGCGGACGGGUGAGUAACACGUGGAUAACCUACCUAUAAGACUGGGAUAACUUCGGGAAACCGGAGCUAAUACCGGAUAAUAUAUUGAACCGCAUGGUUGAAUAGUGAAAGACGGUUUUGCUGUCACUUAUACAUGGAUCCGCGUGGCAUUGGCUAGGUGGUAAGCUAACGGCUUACCAAGGCAACGAUGCGUUGCCGACCUGAGAGCGUGUAGCGCCACUGUGGGAGUGAACCACGGUACAGAGACCUACGGGAGGCCGAAACACGGACUCGUGCGCAAUGGGCGGAAGCUUGCCGGAGCAGCGCCGCGUGGGUGAUGAAGGGCUUCGGGUCGUAUAACUCUCUUAUUAUUGUAGACCAAAUGUGUAAGUAACUAUGCUCGUCUUGACGGUACCUAAUCAGAAAGCCACGGCUAACUACGUG